GCCUAGGUGGCGGAAUUGGUAGACGCGCUGGAUUCAAAACCCAGUAUUUUACGAUGUGCGGGUUCGAUUCCCGCCCUAGGUACAA
rnacentral:tRNA from 2 species